rnacentral:rRNA from 1 species
CUCGAGUGGCGAACGGGUGAGUAACACGUGGGUGAUCUGCCCUGCACUUCGGGAUAAGCCUGGGAAACUGGGUCUAAUACCGGAUAGGAGCCAUUUUUAGUGUGAUGGUUGGAAAGUUUUUUCGGUGUAGGAUGAGCUCGCGGCCAAUCAGCUUGUUGGUGGGGUAAUGGCCUACCAAGGCGGCGACGGGUAGCCGGCCUGAGAGGGUGGACGGCCACAUUGGGACUGAGAUACGGCCCAGACUCCUACGGGAGGCAGCAGUGGGGAAUAUUGCACAAUGGGCGCAAGCCUGAUGCAGCGACGCCGCGUGGGGGAUGACGGCCUUCGGGUUGUAAACUCCUUUCGCUAGGGACGAAGCUUUUUGUGACGGUACCUAGAUAAGAAGCACCGGCUAACUACGUGCCAGCAGCCGCGGUAAUACGUAGGGUGCGAGCGUUGUCCGGAAUUACUGGGCGUAAAGGGCUCGUAGGUGGCUUGUCGCGUCGUCUGUGAAAUUCCGGGGCUUAACUCCGGGCGUGCAGGCGAUACGGGCAUAACUUGAGUACUGUAGGGGUAACUGGAAUUCCUGGUGUAGCGGUGAAAUGCGCAGAUAUCAGGAGGAACACCGAUGGCGAAGGCAGGUUACUGGG